AAGCAACAACCACAAGUGAUAGUAAGCUAGCUAUAUAUGAAAUUCACUGUAAUUUAAAACUUUUAAACUGAACUUUACAUAACUGAAUAACUGAAACAUUUAGUUAUUUACAUGCUUUAUAUUACAUUCAUUUACAUGUCUCUGUACAUCAAAAUGUCUCACAUGAACUCAAAAUGGUAAACUACUAUACUCUGGUGUCAGCUAGCUAAGCUGCGGGGCUCUUGCCACGAUCCUCGGCCACACCGCUCGCACUGGAACCUGUAUGGUUAGUGGUGUGAGAACUACUAAAAAUUCCCAGUGGGUUCGGCCGCCGACCUCGCCGACUCACCCACUAGGUCUAUUCAGGCAUAUGUAGGCAAAAGAAGUAAACAGAUAGUAACUAACUAUAACAUGUAACUACUACAAUGCCUGUACAAAGCUGAAAGAAAGCAAUAUAGGAAAACUGUAAAUAUGCAUGCAUAUUGUAAUAUACCACGGCCCAAUCAAUCUAGCUAACUAUUUGGUUAAUUGCAACUCACCAACUCAAUCCCUGGCGGGCCCUAAGCUGCCUCCCGACGGGACCGUCUGCUGGACAGAUACUUUAGUCCAUGGGCAAAUACUUUAGCCCAUCAUGUGACAACCUCCGGAGUGCACUGCUUGGGUGGAGCGACCACUACCAAUCUCAAAACAGACUAUGUGAGUAUGAUCUGAUCCUCCUUUAGAGGAUUCAAUAAUAGACAAUGUCACACUUUAACUCUACUAGCUCUUUAUGCUAGUUGCAAUUUCAUUCCUCGAUGCUAACCAAAUCUCUAGUUAGAAUGUCACCCAGUUCACUAUUGUUAUAGUCCAUACGUUCAUAGGGUUCUAUAUUCACAUUCUAAGGUUCACUAUUCUCACUAUUGAUAGGAAUUCACACUUUCAUUUGCACAAUGUCAAAUACCCUAUAAUGCAUGACUAUAAAUAUAAAUAUGUUCAAUGAAUUAUCAUAGACAUAAAAGGUGAUUCAAAGACUUCGGAUAGCACCACCCACCUGUAGUGGUG
rnacentral:lncRNA from 1 species